rnacentral:rRNA from 1 species
AGUAGUUCGACUCCGUGCGUACAGGACACGCUGGCGGCGUGCCUAACACAUGCAAGUCGAGCGAUGAAGUUCCUUCGGGAACGGAUUAGCGGCGGACGGGUGAGUAACACGUGGGUAACCUGCCUUAUAGAGGGGAAUAGCCUUCCGAAAGGAAGAUUAAUACCGCAUAAAGUUGUUGAUUCGCAUGAAUCGAUAACCAAAGGAGCAAUCCGCUAUAAGAUGGACCCGCGGCGCAUUAGCUAGUUGGUGAGGUAAUGGCUCACCAAGGCGACGAUGCGUAGCCGACCUGAGAGGGUGAUCGGCCACAUUGGGACUGAGACACGGCCCAGACUCCUACGGGAGGUAGCAGUGGGGAAUAUUGCACAAUGGGGGAAACCCUGAUGCAGCAACGCCGCGUGAGUGAUGAAGGCCUUCGGGUUGUAAAGCUCUGUCUUUGGGGACGAUAAUGACGGUACCCAAGGAGGAAGCCACGGCUAACUACGUG